UACGUAGGGACCGAGCGUUGUCCGGAAUCAUUGGGCGUAAAGAGCGUGUAGGCGGCCCCUUAAGUCCUGCGUGAAAUCCUGCGGCUCAACCGCAGACGGUCGUGGGAAGCUGGAGGGCUAGAGUGCGGGAGAGGAGAGUGGAAUUCCCGGUGUAGCGGUGAAAUGCGCAGAUAUCGGGAAGAACACCCGUGGCGAAGGCGGCUCUCUGGAACGCAACUGACGCUGAGACGCGAAAGCGUGGGGAGCAAACAGG
rnacentral:rRNA from 1 species